ensembl:lncRNA
GGGAUGGAGGUGAAGGGAUGAAGGUAGAGGGAUGGAGGUGAAGGUAGAGGGAUGGAGGUGAAGGUAGAGGGAUGGAGGUGAAGGUGGAGGGAUGGAGGUGAAGGUGGAGCAAUGGAGAUGAAGGUGGUGGGAUGGAGGUGAAGGUAGAGGGAUGGAGGUGAAGGGAUGAAAGUAGAGGGAUGGAGGUGAAGGGAUGAAGGUAGAGGGAUGGAGGUGAAGGUGGAGGAAUGGAGGUGAAGGUGGAGCAAUGGAGGUGAAGGUGGAGGGAUGGAGGUGAAGGUAGAGGGAUGGAGGUGAAGGGAUGAAGGUGAAGGUGGAGGAAUGAAGGUGAAGGGAUGAAAGUAGAGCGAUGGAGGUGAAUGUGGAGGGAUGGAGGUGAAGGGAUGAAGGUAGAGGGAUGGAGGUGAAGGUGGAGGAAUGGAGGUGAAGGUGGAGCAAUGGAGAUGAAAGUGGUGGGAUGAAGGUGAAGGUAGAGGGAUGGAGGUGAAGGGAUGAAGGGAGGGAUGGAGGUGAAUGGAUGAGGGUAGAGGGAUGGAGGUGAAGGUAGAGGGAUGGAGGUGAAGGUAGCGGCAUGGAGGUGAAGGUAGAGGGAUGGAGGUGAAGG